GCAGUAGCCGCGGGAAUACAGAGGGUGCGAGCGUUAAUCGGAUUUACUGGGCGUAAAGCGUGCGUAGGCGGCUUUUUAAGUCGGAUGUGAAAUCCCUGAGCUUAACUUAGGAAUUGCAUUCGAUACUGGGAAGCUAGAGUAUGGGAGAGGAUGGUAGAAUUCCAGGUGUAGCGGUGAAAUGCGUAGAGAUCUGGAGGAAUACCGAUGGCGAAGGCAGCCAUCUGGCCUAAUACUGACGCUGAGGUACGAAAGCGUUGGGAGCAAACAGGAUUAGAUACCCGCGUAGUCCCUGUCUCUUAUAC
rnacentral:rRNA from 1 species